UACGGAGGGAGCUAGCGUUGUUCGGAUAUACUGGGCGUAAAGCGCACGUAGGCGGCGCAGCAAGUCAGGGGUGAAAUCCCGGAGCUCAACUCCGGAACUGCCCUUGAAACUGCAGUGCUAGAAUCCUGGAGAGGCGAGUGGAAUUCCGAGUGUAGAGGUGAAAUUCGUAGAUAUUCGGAAGAACACCAGUGGCGAAGGCGGCUCACUGGUCCGGUACUGACGCUGAGGUGCGAAAGCGUGGGGAGCAAACAGG
rnacentral:rRNA from 1 species